rnacentral:lncRNA from 1 species
ACCUGCUAAGAAAUUAAAGUAAUUUCUCGAAUUGGAGGUAGAGGCUACCAAUUCGUAUAAAAUAGUGGGAGAAUCUUUAGAAUAAAGUCUAUGUCUUUAGGCUUGAUUAAUUCAUAUACUAAUUAGGUCUGUAUUUUCCUUUUUUUUCAGAAAUGACUAGUAAUUUAUUGCUCCACUCACUAUUUGACAGUGAUGAGCUUAUUGGAUCCAACUUUGAUAGCCAGUAUCAAAAGUUGAAUAUUGAUCUUGAGCCCAAUCUAGCUAAAAAAUUUAGGACAGAAUC